GACUAGCGCUGGCGGUGUGUCUUAGACAUGCAAGUCGUACGAGAAAUCCUGGGCAACUGGGAGAGUAAAGUGGCGCACGGGUGAGUAACGCGUGGGUAACCUGCCCUUGAAUUGGGGAUAACUCCGCGAAAGCGGGGUUAAUACCGAAUGAUAUUCCGACUUCCACGGGGGUUGGAAUCAAAGGUGGCCUCUGCAUGCAAGCUACUGUUCAAGGAUGGGCCCGCGUACCAUUAGCUUGUUGGUAGGGUAAUGGCCUACCAAGGCAUCGAUGGUUAGCUGGUCUGAGAGGAUGGCCAGCCACACUGGAACUGAGACACGGUCCAGACUCCUACGGGAGGCAGCAGUGGGGAAUCUUGCGCAAUGGGGGAAACCCUGACGCAGCAACGCCGCGUGGGUGAUGAAGGCCUUCGGGUCGUAAAGCCCUGUCAGGUGGGAAGAACCGUAUCGGUACAAACAGUGCCGAUGCUUGACGGUACCACCGGAGGAAGCACCGGCUAACUCCGUGCCAGCCGCCGCCGUAAGAC
rnacentral:rRNA from 1 species